rnacentral:rRNA from 1 species
GACGUAGGGUGCGAGCGUUGUCCGGAUUUAUUGGGCGUAAAGAGCUCGUAGGCGGCUCGUCGCGUCGACCGUGAAAACCUGCAGCUUAACUGUGGGCGUGCGGUCGAUACGGGCAUCACUGGAGUUCGGCAGGGGAGACUGGAAUUCCUGGUGUAGCGGUGAAAUGCGCAGAUAUCAGGAGGAACACCGGUGGCGAAGGCGGAUCUCUGGGCCUUACCUGACGCUCAGGUGCGAAAGCUAGGGGAGCGAACAGG